UACGGAGGAUCCAAGCGUUGUCCGGAUUUAUUGGGCUUAAAGGGCGCGUAGGCGGUUCUUUAAGUCAGUGGUGAAAGCCUGCAGCUUAACUGUAGAACAGCCAUUGAAACUGAAGAUCUUGAAUAUGGUUAAAGUAGGCGGAAUGUAUCAUGUAGCGGUGAAAUGCUUAGAUAUGAUACAGAACACCGAUAGCGAAGGCAGCUUGCUGAGCCAUUAUUGACGCUGAGGCACGAAAGCGUGGGGAGCGAACAGG
rnacentral:rRNA from 1 species